rnacentral:rRNA from 1 species
AGGACGAACGCUGGCGGCGUGCUUAACACAUGCAAGUCGAGCGGAAAGGCCCUUCGGGGUACUCGAGCGGCGAACGGGUGAGUAGCACGUGAGCAACCUGCCCCGAAGACUGGGACAACACCGGGAAACCGGUGCUAAUACCGGAUAUCCCUAUUGGAUCGCAUGAUCCGAUAAGGAAAUGUUUUCGCUUCGGGAGGGCUCGCGGCCUAUCAGCUAGUUGGUGGGGUAACGGCCCACCAAGGCAUCGACGGGUAGCUGGUCUGAGAGGACGAUCAGCCACACUGGGACUGAGACACGGCCCAGACUCCUACGGGAGGCAGCAGUGGGGGAAUCUUGCGCAAUGGGCGAAAGCCUGACGCAGCAACGCCGCGUGGAGGACGAAGGCUUUCUGAGUUGUAAACUCUUUCAGCAGGGACGAUUGUGACGGUACCUGCAGAAGAAGCACCGGCCAACUACGUGCCAGCAGCCGC